rnacentral:miRNA from 1 species
AAAAAAGGGAAUGGCUAAACUUG